UUCCAUUUCUACUACUACUACUACCACCAUGGAGUACUCUAAUUCUAGCAACACGGAGCAGCCUCAAACCUGCCUUGAAAUAACCAUGGAGGUUCACAGAGUUGUCCCACCACCCCAUCAGAGCACCAUUCAUAAGCUUAAAACCACGCUCAAAGAAACUUUCUUCCCUGAUGAUCCUCUGCGCCAAUUCAAAGGACAACCUACCGGGAAGAAAUGGAUUCUUGCAGCUCAAUACAUCUUCCCUAUUCUCCAAUGGGGUCCUCAUUAUAGUCUCAGUCUCUUCAAAUCUGAUAUUGUUGCCGGACUUACCAUUGCUAGCUUAGCCAUCCCCCA
rnacentral:lncRNA from 1 species